CGAUGCGAAUGUUAUGAAACUCUAGCGGGCCGUCCUCGUGAGCGUCAGCACUCUCACUGGUGUUUUCUCUCGGCAGGUGUGUGGGUGCAAUGUACACCUGAAUGGUGUUAAUUGGUGAGCAGAUUCCUACCAAGUAAAAUCGAUCCAUCAAUCAAUCAGAGUAGGAAAAUAUAAUAAAAAAGAAAAAUUGGAAUGAGAAAGAAAAGGGAAAUGGAUGCUGCGUCGCAAGCCGUCGCGAGGAUUCCUUUGGAUGCUUGUGCGCGUUUCCCAGGCCCGUCGGUCUUCCAUCCCUGAACCGAUAAACGCGGUGACCGGCGCCUUCACAGUAAUUAUGAUUAAUUUUAUAAUCCAGUCUGGUAGUUUUAAGAAGCGAGUUCUUGCAUCCUCGCCUCGGCGGGGGGGGUGGAGUGCCAGCGAGCCCAAGGUCUCCCUGGCGAGCAUGGCAGGAAUGGAGGGCUCCAGGCAGGGCUCCUCGGCGUCCCUCCGGGCCCCGACGGAGGUGCCGGAGAUCUUCCGGCUACAAACCCGGGCAGGUGGAGCUCGUUAGCCGUGGUAGGCAAUCUGCCUAGGAGAGCAAACUCUAUACAAACCCGGGCAGGUGAGGCUCGUUACCCGUGGAAGGUAAUUCACCUAGGAGAGCAAACUCUAUACAAACCCGGGCAGGUGAGGCUCGUAAGCCGUGGAAGGCAAUUCACCUAGGAGAGCAAACUCUAAACAAACCCGGGCAGGUGAGGCUCGUUAGCCGUGGUAGGCAAUUCACCUAGGAGAGCAAACUCUAUACAAACCCGGGCAGGUGAGGCUCGUUAGCCGUGGUAGGCAAUUCACCUAGGAGAGCAAACUCUAUACAAACCCGGGCAGGUGGAGGUCGUUAGCCGUGGGAGGCAAUUCACCUAGGAGAGCAAACUCCGAACAAUAAACCCGGGCAGGUGGAGCUCGUCAGCCGUGGUAGGCAAUUCACCUAGGAGAGCAAACUCUAAACAAACCCGGGCAGGUGAGGCUCGUUAGCCGUGGUAGGCAAUUCACCUAGGAGAGCAAACUCCGAACAACAAACCCGGGCAGGUGGAGCUCGUCAGCCGUGGUAGGCAAUACACCUAGGAGAGCAAACUCCGAACAACAAACCCGGGCAGGUGGAGCUCGUCAGCCGUGGUAGGCAAUCUGCCUAGGAGAGCAAACUCCGAACAACAAACCCGGGCAGGUGGAGCUCGUCAGCCGUGGUAGGCAAUCUGCCUAGGAGAGCAAACUCCGAACAACAAACCCGGGCAGGUGGAGCUCGUCAGCCGUGGUAGGCAGUCUGCCUAGGAGAGCAAACUCCGAACAAUAAACCCGGGCAGGUGGAGCUCGUCAGCCGUGGUAGGCAGUCUGCCUAGGAGAGCAAACUCCGAACAACAAACCCGGGCAGGUGGAGCUCGUCAGCCGUGGUAGGCAAUCUGCCUAGGAGAGCAAACUCCGAACAAUAAACCCGGGCAGGUGGAGGUCGUCAGCCGUGGUAGGCAAUUCACCUAGGAGAGCAAACUCCGAACAAUAAACCCGGGCAGGUGGAGGUCGUCAGCCGUGGUAGGCAAUCUGCCUAGGAGAGCAAACUCUAAAUAAACCCGGGCUUGUGGUGCUCGUUAUACUGUCGUAGACAAUCCACGCGAUGGGAACACCAAAGAAAAGGAAAAUAAAAAACACCACCAGAAAAAUGGAAAAUACAGAAACGAAACAUCAAGAAAAGAAACAAAAAGAUCAUCCACCUUUAGGCCCUAACAUCGCCAAAAUUAUGGGUGGGUCUCUUCUGGGGAGAAAGCGGCUCAUCCAGACCAAAGAACAUCAACAAAAGGAUGAUAUGAAUAAAUUAACAUAAAAAACAAACAAAGAAAAACACAUCAAGGAAAGAAAAAUAUAACAAACAUCAUCCACCUUCCGGCAAUGACUAACAUCACCAAAAUUAUGGGUGGGUCUCUUCUGGGGAGAAAGCGGCUCACCCAGACCAAAGAACAUCAACAAGGGAUGAUAUAGAAAAGAACACCAAAAAAAUAUGGAAAAAGAACAGAAAAAACAUCGAAAAAGAAAAGCAACAGAAAUAAAUGAGCAACAUCGAGAAAAGAGAAAUACAAAGAAACAUCAUCCACCUUUCGGCCCCAAACAACAUCACCAAAAUUAUGGAUGGGUCUCUUCUGGGAGGAAAGCGGCUCAUCCAGUCCAAGGAACAUCAACAAAAGGAUGAUGGGAAAAAAAUAACAACAAAAAACAUCAAAAAGAAGUAAAAAGAAAAAGAACAGGAAAACAUCGAAAAAGAAAACAAAAGCAAUAAAAAGAACGAAAAACACGACAUCAAGAAAAUAAAAUAAAACAAACAUCAUCCACCUUUCGGCCC